rnacentral:misc_RNA from 1 species
AACGCACAUUGCGCCCGCCAGCAUUCUGGCGGGCAUGCCUGUCCGAGCGUCAUUUCCACCCUCGAGCCCCCGGGCUCGGUGUUGGGGUCCCCUACGGCCGCCGUAGGCCCCGAAAUACAGUGGCGGACCCUCUGGCACUUCCGGGCGCAGUAGUCACAUCUCGCCUUCUGGAGGAGCCCUAGGGGUCUCUGCCUAGACACUGACCGCCCCAGCGGCGGACGCUAUGGUUGACCUCGGAUCAGGUAGGAAUACCCGCUGAACUUAA